CUAUUGUUGAUAAAGGGCUACCACUCAGAGUUGAGCCUGUGGGGUCCCCUACAGGAUAGCUCCCGCAUUACACUAAUGGCCAAAACCAGCGCACACACACAUGAUCUCAGUUGUCUGUCCGUCAUCGUAGAAUCCUCUUCGGGCAUUCAACGUUCAGCUACAACGGAGAUCAUGUGUGUGUGCGCUGGUUUUGGCCAUUAGUGUAAUGCGGGAGCUAUCCUGUAGGGGACCCCACAGGCUCAACUCUGAGUUGUAGCCCCCCCUUAACAAUAGUUUGGUCACCUACAUAAGAAAUAGCAUUUCUCUACAAAACCCUCUCUUCACGUCUCACAAGAGACGUGACACAACCUAACUGGAUCCAGACACAAAGAGAAACUUCUCCCAAGGGGACUAUGAAAUAAGGCACGGUUUUAAACAGAAAUAGAUAUAUAUGUAUUACAUCAUGUUCUCCAUUCAAUCCCACUAUGUACUAAGUUGGCUACCAGCCACCUAGGAACUUACAACCCUCAUUUUACAGAGCGGAGAACAACAGCUCAAAAUAAAAGUAAAUGCUUGUCUACAUAAGCCAACUUUUUUCCCGCAGGAAAAAGUUGUGAUUCCCUCUCUUCACAUCUCCAAAGAGAUGUGACUUAAACUAGGCAAGUCAGGCGGAAUGAUCCACUUGCAUAACACAUACAUACAUCCCCAUAAGGCAACAGCAGAUAUAAUGUAAACCUAAAUAGGCACUCUCCUCCUCAUCCUUGAAUUCAAGUAGGUCUUUAUCCAGCAGAGGAAACAUCUGGGAGGGGGAGGAAGGGUCAAUGGCUCUAGAGAUAACCCU
rnacentral:lncRNA from 1 species